ACUCAAAGGAAUUGACGGGGGCCCGCACAAGCAGUGGAGUAUGUGGUUUAAUUCGAAGCAACGCGAAGAACCUUACCAGGUCUUGACAUCGUGCGCAUAGCCUAGAGAUAGGCGAAGCCCUUCGGGGCGCAUAGACAGGUGGUGCAUGGUUGUCGUCAGCUCGUGUCGUGAGAUGUUGGGUUAAGUCCCGCAACGAGCGCAACCCUUAUGAUUAGUUGCUACGCAAGAGCACUCUAAUGAGACUGCCGUUGACAAAACGGAGGAAGGUGGGGAUGACGUCAAAUCAUCAUGCCCCUUAUGACCUGGGCUACACACGUACUACAAUGGCGCUUGAACAAAGGGAAGCGACACCGCGAGGUGAAGCGGAUCCCAAAAAAGCGUCUCAGUUCGGAUCGCAGGCUGCAACCCGCCUGCGUGAAGUCGGAAUUGCUAGUAAUCGCAGAUCAGCAUGCUGCGGUGAAUACGUUCCCGGGCCUUGCACACACCGCCCGU
rnacentral:rRNA from 1 species